UGGAAGAGGGGCAACCGGGACAGAAUCCGGCGCCCCGACCGGGACUAGAACCCAGUGUGCCGGCGCCGCAAGGUGGAGGAUUAGCCUACUGAGCCGCGGCGCCGGCCUUAAAUUUGUAUUUAUUAAGAGGCAAGUAACACAGAUAGAGUUCCCAUCCAUCGGUUCACCCCCCUACAUGCCUGCAAUGGCUGGGGCUGGGGCAGGACAAAGCCAGGAAGCCUGGAAUGCCAUCUAGGUCUCCCACAUGGAUGGCAGGAACCUAACUAACUGAGCCAUCAUCUGGUGCCUCCCGGGGUGCAUAUUAACAGGAAAAUGGAAUCAGAAUUUGAGCCAGAUAUCAAACCCCCAGCAUUCUGUUACAGGAUACAGGCAUCUCAACCAGUGACUUAACUAUGAGAACAAACGCCUGUUCUGCCCUCUCCAAUGGGGGAACUUCACAUUUCAAUAAAUUCAAUAAAUCACAUUUCAAUAAACUGAGCUUUUUUACAAGUUAGUUAGGAGCUUUAUGACUGGUUUAUUAAUUCUUUAUCUGUAUGCGUACUGCUUUAUGAGAAGGCCUUCUUCACAUUUAUGUUUCAGAUACUCCAUGAAACCCUAAACAACCGCUCAAAGACAGAGACAGACAAUAGAGGUUCCAUCUGCUGACUUAAUCCCCAAAUGCCUACAUUGGACUGGACUGGACCAGGCCAAAUUUGGGAGGUGGAAACUCCAUCUUGGUCUCCCAUGUGAGUGUCAGGGAACUGAGUAUCUGAGCUAUCACCUGCUAUCCCUUCAUCAGUGGGAAGGUGGAGCAGGAGCAGAGGAGCCAAGACUAGAACCCAGCUACUCCGAAUAUGGGCCACAACGAGCCCAAGCCACGGUGUAACUGCUGGCCAAACGCCCACCCCAGGAGACAGAUAUGCUAUUAAUAACGAGUCAGGCAGUCUGACAUCGCACAAAGCAGCAUACUCCUGGUAGUGAAGAAGUCACAAACCUGCACAAGGUAAUCAGCAAUGUAUUCUGUUUUCAAGCAGUGCACAUUCUGGGCAGCAGCGUCUGCUAUAUUAAGUCCUGUGUCAUCUGGUUUCUGCUUGCAAUUAAAGUCAUAAAAGAGAUGUGUGGCCUCUUUAAAUAAAGGUACAGAAUGACCACGUAGCACCUAAGGAAAAAACACGAAAAGUAUUACAAUCUACAGGUGUCACAAAGCAGUUCAACUGUACAAAAUAUACUAAGGAUUACCAUCUUCUAAAGUAAGGAAAACAAAGAACUGUUUUAGAUAAUUUAUGUGAACGCUCAGUAAACUGGUUCAGCACAAACCUUUGCUCCUCCUGACUGAAGAAGACGUCUGAACCCCGCUUCUCGGGCACGGUCAACACGUAAAACAACCUUCCACCCGCUAAAUGCUCCCUGCGAGAAAAGAAUCAGUGCUGAAACCACUUGGAAAAUAAAUGAUAAAUCAGAUAAUGCAUGAUCCUACUUGUAGACCCAGUUUUAUGUCUAAAUAAGACACAGAGAUUAUAUUCUCAACGACCUUUAUUUUUGCCACAGUGUAAAUGUGUCAAUAUAGUCUGAAAUACACAGCCAUGGUAUCUGCAAAUUCAUGAGAAAUGAGAGAAAACAAUUUAAUGAUCAGGUAAUAGUAAAACAAAGCAGCUUUAUUUAUGUAGUCUUUUUCUAGUUUUUUCUUUAUAACUAAUGAUAGGUAGAGUACAUGGCACUGCUUGAUAGGCUACAGGAAGCUUUUGUUAAAUUUCUCUUGAAAAUGUAAAGAUAUCAAACAUCAUGUAAGAUUAUUUGACAGACGGGUUUAUAACCUUUUUGUAAGCAAUGGAGCCCUUUGGCAAUCGGGUGAAAACUGGACCCCUUCUAAAUCACUUUCUGAAAAACUGAAGCAGCUUUACUGAGAUAUAAAUGUCCAUAAAAUUUGGGUAAUGUUUUAUUUUUCUUUGUGGUCAAAAUAAAAUAUUAGGGCCAGCACUGUGGUGCAGGGGGUUACGCCCUGCUUGUGUUGCUGGCAUCCCCAGUUUGCUGCUGAGCGACCCCAGUUUGAAUUCCUGUUGCUCCACUUCCAAUCCAGCUCCCUGCUAAUGCGCCUGGAAAGUAGCAAAAAAUGGCCAAGUACGCGGGCCUCUACCACCGUGGGAAAUCUGGAUGUCCAGGCUCCUGGCUUUAGGCCUAGCCCAGCCCUGGCUUUCGUAGAGAAUAAACCAGUGGUUGGAAGUUCUUUCUCUGCCUCCCCUACCAACCACCACCCUCUGUAACUCUGCUUUCAAAAAAUGAAUCUCAAAUAUAGGUAUAUAUUAUAUAUACACACAUAUAUACGAUUACCAAGGAAACCAUUUUAUUGUAAGUUAUUAAAAUAGUAAAAAGAGAUCUAUGACAUUAUAAUGGAGGUGCUUUAUGGGUGAGUCAGCAGAUCCAGCUUAAGAAUCCCUAAAGCUAGGUGCUAUAAAGAUACUUUGAAAUAAACACAGUAUAGAACCACACUUUAUACACAUAAACUAUUUUUUACAAGCCAUCAACGGGGCUCAUGCUGUGACUCAGCAGGUUAAGCGUCCGCCUCCAGUGCCAGCAUCCCAUGUGGGUGCCAGUUCCUGCCCCAGAUGUUCAUCCAGCUCCCUGCUAAUGGGCCUGGGAAAACAUCAGAGGAUGGCCCAAGUGCUUGAGCCCUUGCACCAUGUGGGAGACCUGGAUGAGGUUUCUGGCUCCUGGCUUCAGCCUGGCCCAGCCAAGACUAUGGUGGCCAUUUGGGGAGUGAACCAGCAGAUGGGAGAUCUUUCUGUUUUUCUUUCUCUGUGACUUCCUCUCAAAUAACAUUAAGCUCAAUGUAGACUGCCCUAAUUAAACACAUCAAUCAAGAGUUAUUCUUCCUUGGUCAAGCACAUUCUCUUUAAAAAACAUAUACCUCUCUAUAUAACUAUGUCUAUAUCUGGAAUAGUCACAGUAUUGAAUGCUCCUUAAAUGGUCUCUAAUUGUGCAUGUGAAUACCUCAACAAUGCCUGAUUCUUGUCUCUGCUGGAUUUUUUUUCUCCAUCUCAUGGCCGCAAGUGCUAGUCUUCGUUGCUGCUCCGUGAUUCCAGUCAGAACAUCAAGUAUGGAACUAC